GACGAACGCUGGCGGCGUGCCUAAUACAUGCAAGUCGAACGCAGGGGGGACGGGUGAGUAACACGUGGGUAACCUCCCAUCAGAGGGGAUAACACUUGGAAACAGGUGCUAAACCGAUAUUGGUGGAUGGACCCGCGGUGCAUUAGCUAGUUGGUGAGGUAACGGCUCACCAAGGCCACGAUGCAUAGGCGACCUGAGAGGGGGAUCGGCCACACUGGGACUGAGACACGGCCCAGACUCCUACGGGAGGCAGCAGUAGGGAAUCUUCGGCAAUGGACGAAAGCCUGACCGAGCCAUGCCGCGUGAGUGAAGAAGGUUUUCGGAUCGUAAAGCUCUGUUUGUAGAGAAGCGGUAUCUAAACAGAAAGCAACGGCUAACUACGUGCCAGCAGCCGCGGUAAUUC
rnacentral:rRNA from 1 species